rnacentral:rRNA from 1 species
GACGAACGCUGGCGGCGUGCCUAACACAUGCAAGUCGAGCGAUGAAAUUAGAAACGGAGUCUUCGGACGAAGUGGAAAAUGGAUUAGCGGCGGACGGGUGAGUAACACGUGAGCAACCUGCCUAUCACAUCGGGAUAGCCUCGGGAAACUGGGAUUAAUACCAAAUGAAACAUAAUCACUGCCUAGUGGAAAUGUCAAAGAUUUAUCGGUGAUAGAUGGGCUCGCGUCUGAUUAGCUAGUUGGUGAGGUAAUGGCUCACCAAGGCGACGCUCAGUAGCCGGCCUGAGAGGGUGAACGGCCGAAUUGGGACUGAGACACGGCCCAAACUCCUACGGGAGGCAGCAGUGGGGAAUAUUGCACAAUGGAGGGAACUCUGAUGCAGCGACGCCGCGUGAGCGAUGAAGGCUUUCGAGUCGUAAAGCUCUGUCGAAUGGGAAGAUAAUGACGGUACCAUUUGAGAAAGCCCCGGCUAACUACGUGCCAGCCGCCGCCGUAA